UUCCAAAUACAGGUGAAGUUUGACUCCUGCGCUUUACUAGUCAGUCUGUCUGUCUGAACAGGUCAAACUGAUAUAAAAAGUUGCUUGGAAUGAGAAGUGCAGGAAAUCGCCUCAGGAUGCCAUUAUUAGAGAGAGCCCCAGAUGACACAAUGCCAGAAAGAAGAUGAAGCAGCACUAAUUCUGUGGAUAUGUGCCACCUCCUCAAAAAUAUGAAAAAAACAAC